rnacentral:ribozyme from 13 species
UCAGAGAGGAAAAGGAGGAAAGGUAAAAAAACGGCACAUUCAUGCAAUAAAAUACGGUGGUUUUUUCUGGGCCCUCUCUCUCCUCCUUAUGUUCUCUCCCUUCAUCCCCUCCCCCCCCUCUUCUGUCGAGGGAGGAGAAGGAGAGAGAGGAGAAGGGAGCUACAGAGAAGCCUAUGUGGGGAUAUUAUUUUUGGGUUGUUUAAGUUUUUAUGAUACUUU